UGUCGGCAUUUUAAACCAUGCAGAUUUCUGCAUGAUGGGCUGGUGACCUGCCUCAAGUGGAGCCUUUUCCGAAAUUGGGGGUAGAUGAGCACCUCCUGCACUCGGGACUCUAGGGCCGGUUGAGUCUAGUUUGCCUCCCCCUAUCUGGGCUUUGUGGUGGAGAUUGAGGAGGUUACUGUGGGGGUGUCACUUGUGCCGAUCCUUGCAUCAACCACUGCGGUUAGUGCCUGCACUAGUG
rnacentral:lncRNA from 1 species